rnacentral:rRNA from 1 species
CUAAGGCCAAGGGGGGACACGGAAAGCUAGGCGGAGCGUGCCUAUUGGACAUGGUGCGUCCGAGCCUGUAGGCCAUCCCGGGAUAGGCAAAUCCGUCCUGGGGCUACGAGCUGAGGGGCAAGGCGACUUCAGGGUUCGCCCUGGGGAAGUCCGUUGAGGCUACGCCGGCAAGAAAAGCCUCGUGGCUAGAGACAGGGGUGUCCGUACCGCAAACCGACACAGGUGGGCUGGAGUUGUUGCUCUAAGGCGGACGAGAGAACCUUCCUUAAGGAACUCGGCAAUCUAACUCCGUAACUUCGGGAGAAGGAGUGCCCUGGGGGGUGUAGUCCCUCGCGGACGAAGCUCCUCGGGGUCGCAGCGAAGCGGCCCUGGCGACUGUAUAUCUCAAACACAGGUCUCUGCUCAAGCCGAAAGGCGAGGUAUAGAGGCUGACGCCUGCCCAGUGCCGGAAGGUUAAGGGGAGGGGUGCAAGCUCCGAACCGAAGCCCCGGUGAACGGCGGCCGUAACUAUAACGGUCCUAAGGUACCGAAAUCCCUUGUCGGGUAAGUUCCGACCCGCAGGAAAGGCGUAACGACUGGGGCGCUGUCUCAAGGAAGGACUCGGUGAAAUUGAAGGACGAGUGAAGAUGCUCGUUACCCGCAGCAGGACAAAAAGACCCCGUGGAGCUUUACUGCACCUUGGCAUUGAUCUGAAGACAGUGAUGUGUAGGAUAGGUGGAAGACAUUGAAGUGCUGGCGCUAGUUGGCAUGGAGUCACCCUUGAAAUACCACUCUUCGCUGUUUUUGGCUCUAACCCCUGACAAGCAGGGGAACCGUGCCUGGCAGGCAGUUUGACUGGGGCGGUCGCCUCCUAAAAGGUAACGGAGGCGUCCAAAGGUCCCCUCAGGGUGGAUGGAAAUCACCCGUGGAGCGCAUUGGCAUAAGGGGGCUUGACUGUAAGGCCUACAAGCCGAGCAGGGACGAAAGUCGGGCAAAGUGAUCCUACGGUCCCGUGUGGAAGGGCCGUGGCUUAUCGGAUAAAAGCUACCCCGGGGAUAACAGGCUUAUCUCGCCCAAGAGUUCAUAUCGACGGCGAGGUUUGGCACCUCGAUGUCGGCUCGUCGCGUCCUGGGGCUGAAGGCGGUCCCAAGGGUCCGGCUGUUCGCCGGUUAAAGGGGUACGUGAGUUGGGUUCAGAACGUCGUGAGACAGUUCGGUCUCUAUCCGCCGUGGGCGCAGGAAGCUUGAGGGAACCUUUCCCUAGUACGAGAGGACCGGGAAGGACAGACCUAUGGUGUGCCAGUUGUUCCGCCAGGAGCAGCGCUGGGUAGCCAUGUCUGGCAGUGAUAAGCGCUGAAGGCAUCUAAGCGCGAAGCAUCCCCCAAGAUAAGGCUUCCCUUCCCUAUUAAGUUAGGGAGUAAGACUGCAGAGAGACUAUCUGCUUGAUAGGCCGGGAGUGUAAGGGUAGUAAUAUCUUCAGCUUACCGGUACUAACCAGUCGAGAGGCUUGACC